rnacentral:rRNA from 2 species
UGCCCUAGUACGGCGAGUGAGCGGCAACAGCUCAAAUUUGAAAUCUGGCUCUCGGGCCCGAGUUGUAAUUUGUAGAGGAUACUUUUGAUGCGGUGCCUUCCGAGUUCCCUGGAACGGGACGCCAUAGAGGGUGAGAGCCCCGUCUGGUUGGAUGCCAAAUCUCUGUAAAGUUCCUUCGACGAGUCGAGUAGUUUGGGAAUGCUGCUCUAAAUGGGAGGUAUAUGUCUUCUAAAGCUAAAUAUUGGCCAGAGACCGAUAGCGCACAAGUAGAGUGAUCGAAAGAUGAAAAGCACUUUGAAAAGAGAGUUAAAAAGUACGUGAAAUUGUUGAAAGGGAAGCGUUUAUGACCAGACUUGGACUUGGUUAAUCAUCUGGGGUUCUCCCCAGUGCACUUCUCCAGUUCAGGCCAGCAUCAGUUUUCGCCGGGGGAUAAAGGCAGCGGGAAUGUGGCUCUCUUCGGGGAGUGUUAUAGCCCGUUGUGUAAUACCCUGGUGGGGACUGAGGUUCGCGCUUCUGCAAGGAUGCUGGCGUAAUGGUCAUCAACGACCCGUCUUGAAACACGGACCAAGGAGUCGUCUUCGUAUGCGAGUGUUCGGGUGUCAAACCCCUACGCGUAAUGAAAGUGAACGCAGGUGAGAGCUUCGGCGCAUCAUCGACCGAUCCUGAUGUUCUCGGAUGGAUUUGAGUAAGAGCAUACGGGGCCGGACCCGAAAGAAGGUGAACUAUGCCUGUAUAGGGUGAAGCCAGAGGAAACUCUGGUGGAGGCUCGCAGCGGUUCUGACGUGCAAAUCGAUCGUCAAAUAUGGGCAUG